UUCCAUCUGCUUGUUUUACCCACAGGUGCAGCUGCUGCCUUAUCAUUAGCAGAAAUGCUAAGGAAGAAGGAGUGAUGUGUGUGUUUAUAAUAUUUUUAAAGUGUCAAACACCUUAAUUUUCAGGUUGGCACUCCCUCCUAAAAUUAGAAGAAUGAUACAGAAAUGGCAGUUUCAUCAGGCUAGAAAUUCUGUAUUCACAUUUCUCCUAAGGUACACCUAGAUUCCUAAAGUUUGACAUCAUUUUUUUGUGGAUCACAGUGUGGAACAAGGAUGCUGAUUGCCAUGGAGAUGUCAACCACAGGACUGGUUCUCUUAAGAAUUGUGGAAACACAAAUAAAAAGUUACUGCCACUUCAGUCUUCAGGUGACUUAGCAUCACCUGGAAUCCAACACCUGAAAAUGCAUCUAUCCUGCAUCAUCAUUAUAGAGUUUGCUCAACAACUCUUUUCUUCUCACAUGUAAUCUGACAAAAUCCUGCAAAGUUGUCCAAAUAAAC
rnacentral:lncRNA from 1 species